rnacentral:tmRNA from 1 species
GCCCUUGCCGAGGCUCCCCCGCCCGCCUAUAUGGAUGAUGCCGGGUUCGCCCGGCUAUGGGGAUAAACGACGGCGUGCAAUAGGCGCAGCGGACCCGGGGGCAGUACCCGGCGGCUCCACCAUAAGUGGUGGUGUAUCUGGACACCGUUUCUGACGGGGCCGAACCAGG